CCCUUCUAGGCCCGAAGAGCGGCAGCGCCGAAGCCGCCGUCUCCAGCCCAGAUCCACAACGGCCGGACGGGCGCGACCUAAAGCGAAGGGGAGACGGCUAAGCCCGAGCCCUAGGGGCCAGGCCACUCUAAGGGGGCGGGCGGGACGAGGGCUUAAGGGAGUGAUUGUCAUCAUCGAGGGGGGGCAUGACGGGACCGCGCAGCACUUUACAACCUCACUAACGCUAAAGUACCGGGCAGCGCAGGGCGCCUACUCGACUCAAUCCGCCUUUCCACUCCACUAAACGGCACGGCACCGGCUCUUCUUCCGGACAAACAAAUCCGACCUUAGAUCACAGACGCUAGCCACGCUCGUAUACCGAUACAGGAACACGUGUGCUACAGGUGUCGAACAGCAAUCCGUGCUAAAGCCUAAUCUUAAGUCAGCACGCAUGAGCCCGUUGAUUUUAUUAGCCUACGGUACGGUAUCCUUACGGUUCAAUAUGUCCAUCAUGAUCAUUAAACAAACAGUGUACUAUUUGCAAAAGACAGUGUACUAAGGUACGAAACGGAGUAAAUGUACACAUAAAUAAUGUGUGACAGAAUCAAAGGAUAAUCAUAACUACUACAUCUCGCAGAGGGAGUGAGGGACUAUUCAAUUCUGACUAGACAGUAUUUAUGUGUACAGACAGUUUUCACCGACCAAUUAAACCAUUCGCCACUUAGUCUUCCUAUGGCGGUGAUUCAUGGUUGAUGGUCCAGAAAUGCUUAAAAACGAAUGUCAAACCCUACGUACAGUGACACACAAAUGGACCUUACCACCAAGUCUCGAAUCAAGACAAAACAAAAUUCAAGUAGGGACAUCGGUAUUCACACCAUUUUAAAAUAACGGGACAUUAGAUUUAUCUGAAGUGGGACUACUCAAACCAUCGGUUAUCUGCGUCGUUUUGUAAAUACAUAAAUCACGGAAAACUGGACUGGAUAUGAAAAAACUCAUCCAGAAUACCACUACUUCUACCUCCAACUCCUCCUGCCACGGUUACCUCCUUUACCACCUCGUACCUGACUCCUCCUGGCUCUGGAGUCGUGGUGACACGAUCCAUCUCUACGUAAACGUAUGAACUGUUUUCCCCCGCCAUGGUAUAGACUCCCAGAACAACGACGUAGCAGUGGACACCUGAACGUUUUAUUUGACGUCCUCGAAUAACUUAGUCUCGUAGGACCACGACCAACCUUGAUGCGGUAGAAGACCGUCGAAAGUGCGUGUUUCAGACCACUAGAACAGGAACCCACCCCACUACCGAGAACGGCACUUGGGUUACUACGACUCAACCGUCGACGACGAAGACGUCCGUUACUACUACGGUUUGUCGCCUACGCCUUCGCACAUGACGUCGCCAACGUGUCUCGUAAACCACGACGACUACUCCUCCUAAUACGAGGGUGAUAACCAGUCCACUGUCUAUGUCUUUACAAGAAGGAUCGUAGAUACAUGAAGCGCAAAGGCGCAGCACGGCCACGAGGACCAGUUCAAAAACGUCGACCGGAGGGAGAGACCCAAGGGUUAAGACUCGCGUUACAUAAGGGUCGGUUAAUGACAAUGGCCCCUAUGGAACGUUCGUGUCGUCCUAAAUCUUGAUAGGACAAUCACGGUAAACUCUGACCACACGAACUCGACCCAAGCUACGUCGUCCACCGACUCUCAAGACUGUGAGAGGUCUGGUAUUUCAGACAGAAACGCCCCUGUCCACCGUUAUUCCUAUAUUAAGGCUCAGCACUUCCUUUACCAGUGUAACUCUCCAGUGGUCCAGACCGUUUCUAAAAACCGUUCCUAAACUUGGAACCAGCCAGAAGUCGUCCCGGUCACUAACCCCAUAGCUUUCAUCUACUUUCCAGUACCCUUGUCUCCUGACGACCACCUCCCUCGAGUCACGAAGGGUUACAGGUCUUUCCUAACGUCUCAAAGUGAACCUCAGUCCGGGCCCCGGACUUAAGAGUGGUCGUCUUCAAACCGUUACCAUAUGACUAUCACUCAUUACUUCGAUGUGUGCCGUUGUUAUCUCGGUGUCUGUCGAGGUGAUGUUGUGUCAAAGUCGAUGUCUUUCGUGGAGUCGAGGUCUUUGAUGGUGAAGAAGUCUUUGGUGGUGUCGAUCACUUCGGUGACGUCUACCAGUUGGUCGUUGUCGACGUCGGUGUCCGCGGAUCCGUUUAUCUAAAAUCACGUCCCUGGUCAAGGUUCAGACCACAAGACCAAUGUUCUCGUCGACAAGAACUACCUCUAUCAAGUCUCCACUUACCGAACACAUUUCUCCUUCCCUGUUGUGGACAGUAUCUCCUGGCUGCCGGUUCCUUCUCCCCUUCUUUCGGACGCUUACCCUCUCUCCUCGGCGACUUAGUACAACUCCGACUCGCAGUUUCCUCCCUCUUCGAGUUGGUCGCCAAGAUACGAAACUCUCGGCAACACGGGUUGUAGAGCUUUUACCUGUUCCGGAGAGACAACCCGCUACGUUAUCGUAUGUAGUGACUGGAAGUUUUCUUCGAGUUUCUAUACCUCUGCCUCUCUCUUGCUAAAGAACUCAGACCAUACCAACUAGGAUCCCUCGCUCGGGGAUCUGGUCUCCAACUGUAGGUCCACCACGUUCUGCUCCAAGACCAAGCUCAAUACAGAGGUAACCUCUUGGUAGGCCAUUUCUUCCAGAAACUUCGCAAACUUCUCCGCCUGCAGGCCCAUCCCCUCAGCUUUGAGUGUCCGUUGUUACCUUGCCAUCACGUAAGGAAGUAGUAGUUCACGGGACCGAGGCUUGUCGUUUGCUCUCUCUUUCACUAGCGACGUUACAGAGCGCGGUACUCGAGUCACAUCUCAGCCAACUCCCCUCAGCCACGUCAUCUCCAACCAAUGAGACGACCACCGUAGGUUCGUCGUCCGUCGGGGACUUUGGAAGGUAAGACAACUAUCUUCAACAUCCAGCUCUGUCGUCCGACUCUAAAGACUGAAUCGUUACGUUCUUUUCGUGUUCGAUUUGGCGGUAACAACAUUGCCAUCCAAGAACACGAGGAACAUCAAAACUACAAAAAAACCCUUCUUAUGGUACGAAAAUCACAUAACGAAUUAAUCACGCCUUGGUAUUUUUCAUGUAAAGCGUACGUACUCAAUCUUUUAAUGAAAAAACAUCGGAAAAGAAACAAGUUUAGGAACUCACCCGGCCACCUAAUUAUUGAGACUCGUUAAAGACAGGACUUGGAAGACGAAGACUGAACCUACUAGAGCAACUUUGUUUGUAGGUACAAACCCAUUUGACUACUGCAACCAGAACCAGAUUAAGAUAGUUGUACGACAUAAUGCGAACAAGACAUCUUUAAGAAAGCUACUCUACUAAUCGACGGUUGACUUCAGCCCUCUAAAUGUUUGAUGUCUACCACAACAUGCCGACUUUCAC
rnacentral:rRNA from 1 species